UACGUAGGGUGCGAGCGUUAAUCGGAAUUACUGGGCGUAAAGCGUGCGCAGGCGGUUUUGUAAGCCAGAUGUGAAAUCCCCGGGCUUAACCUGGGAAUGGCAUUUGGGACUGCAAGGCUCGAGUGCGGCAGAGGAGACUGGAAUUCCUGGUGUAGCAGUGAAAUGCGCAGAGUAUCAGGAGGAACACCGAUGGCGAAGGCAGGUCUCUGGGCCAUAACUGACGCUGAGAAGCGAAAGCAUGGGGAGCGAACAGGA
rnacentral:rRNA from 1 species